CUGCGUUGACUCCUGAUCGUACUGUGACUGGGAUCGGCUGUUUCUUCUGAAAUGCCUGCUUGUUGUCCUCGCACAGAUUUCCCAGCUGCCUGUGAACAUGCUCCCUCUGAGAUCAGAGUCCUAGUUACUCUGAGGCAGUCGGCCAGGAAACUCCUGUGACCCUCUCCUCUUCCCCCACUCCCGAGGCCAUGGCUGUGUCCUUGGAGUCUGUCCUCUGGGCUACCAGCUGAGUCUACUCAAGGCCCCUAAGGCAUUUUUCUUUUGCCCCCUCCCCGCUCCCCCUUCCCUCACCCA